AUUAAAAAANUAUUAAAAAAAAAAAAACAAAUUCCCUUCUCUUCUCCCUCAUGCGACUGCCCCCCCCUCAAUUUUUUCCCUGCUCGUCGCCGAACUCGACCAGCCGCCCGUCCUCCUCAGCCCAUCGUCCAGACUGCCGCUGCCCGAGCCCAGCAGCCGAUCUCCUUCGCGCGUCUCGCCUAACGGUUCCGUCCACGAGUAACGCGUGCCACCACCGGCCCCAACCACGCGAUCUCUCCCUUCUCAGUCGCAUGUCCGCACCUCUCCUCGUCGCCGACUCUACGCACCGUAGUUUCGCAUGCCUUCGCUCACAUCGCGUCGGUCGUCGUCAACUCCCAGCCAUCCGCGGGUUCCAGAUCUAAAGUCAUGUGUGUCUUUCGUCGUUCGUGGGUUCGAUGCCGUUGCUAGAUCUGUCCAGGCGUCCACCGCCGCUUCUUCGUCUACCGCCGCCCAGCCCAUACCGCCGACGCGGUUACCAUCAGAUCUGUUUUGGAAGCUAGAUUCGAAAGAUUUUGGGGACGUUGUUCAUCGAGAAAGAGACCAAUUUUCGACAGAAAUUGUUAAGUUUGGGUUGGCUUUUUGGUUUGAGUUUUAGAAUUUAUUUUGCGGCAAGCCACAACUUUGGGUGGAUUCAAAGCAUUCCAAGAGUUGUAAGAAAGUUAAUUACUUGGAUUAAUUUGUGACCAAAUUUGAGGUAAGUAAUCUUACUACUGGAACUGUCCACGGGUCAGACACUAGAUAUAUGCUAGCAUAAUAGACGAAUAUCAGAACAGAACGAUAGCAUGAUAAACGGAUAGUAUAGUAUGACCGAUAUAUGUUCUUGUAUGAGAAUUUGAAAGAUUUAUUUGUGCACGUACAUACUUGCAUGCUAGUAAGAGAUGAUACUUUAUUCACUGAGGUUGUAUUUGAUAUAAGGAUAUUGAGGCAUAUAUGCAUGUUGUAUAGCCAUGAUGUUGAGGUGUAUAUGUAUGUUAUGAAACCAUGUUGUGAUCAUUGUGAUAUUGAAGUCGUGAUAAUGUCUUUACUGAUUAGUUAGAUGCCCACUAGGUAUUGUGUUUACUUCAGGAUUCACCAAAUUUGUGUUUCCUUCAGGAUUCACCAAAUUGUGUUUCCUUCGGGAUUCACCAGAGAUUGUGUUUCUUCCGGGAUUCACCAGAGAUUGUGUUUCCUUCGGGAUUCUCCAGAUUGUGUUUCCUUC